rnacentral:rRNA from 1 species
GCAAGUCGAGCGGAUGAAGUAGCUUGCUACUGGAUUCAGCGGCGGACGGGUGAGUAAUGCUUAGGAAUCUGCCUAUUAGUGGGGGACAACGUUCCGAAAGGAGCGCUAAUACCGCAUACGUCCUACGGGAGAAAGCAGGGGACCUUCGGGCCUUGCGCUAAUAGAUGAGCCUAAGUCGGAUUAGCUAGUUGGUAGGGUAAAGGCCUACCAAGGCGACGAUCUGUAGCGGGUCUGAGAGGAUGAUCCGCCACACUGGGACUGAGACACGGCCCAGACUCCUACGGGAGGCAGCAGUGGGGAAUAUUGGACAAUGGGGGGAACCCUGAUCCAGCCAUGCCGCGUGUGUGAAGAAGGCCUUUUGGUUGUAAAGCACUUUAAGCGAGGAGGAGGCUACCUAGAUUAAUACUUUAGGAUAGUGGACGUUACUCGCAGAAUAAGCACCGGCUAACUCUGUGCCAGCAGCCGCGGUAAUACAGAGGGUGCGAGCGUUAAUCGGAUUUACUGGGCGUAAAGCGUGCGUAGGCGGCCAAUUAAGUCAAAUGUGAAAUCCCCGAGCUUAACUUGGGAAUUGCAUUCGAUACUGGUUGGCUAGAGUAUGGGAGAGGAUGGUAGAAUUCCAGGUGUAGCGGUGAAAUGCGUAGAGAUCUGGAGGAAUACCGAUGGCGAGGGCAGCCAUCUGGCCUAAUACUGACGCUGAGGUACGAAAGCAUGGGGAGCAAACAGGAUUAGAUACCC